GGAAGGUUGGCCGAGUGGGAAGGCACUCGCUUGGAAAGCGACGGUCUGGCCGAGAGGUCAGCGGGGGUUCGAUUCCCUCACCUUCCG
rnacentral:tRNA from 1 species